UAUGUGUAUAUAUAUAUAUAUAGAUAUAUAGAUAUAUGUAUAUAUUGAUGUAUACGUGUAUAUGUGUAUAUUUAUGUUUAUAUGUGUGUAUGUAUGUAUGUGUAUAUAUGUAUAUGUGUAUACGUAUAUAUGUACACACUUUCAGAAUUGCCAAAUGACAGUAUAACCAAGGAAUACAAAGCCUAUAGUUUAUGCAAGUUUAUCAGUAAAGCCGAUUUCUAGUUGGCCAAUGGUAGUUUAUAUAGAACAGUUGGACUCUUUCGCUCUAUUUCUUUGUCAAGGUCCAAGGGAUACAAUGCGAUGUGUUUUGAUGAGUUUAGUUUUUUGUUUAAUGACUGCUUAAAUGAUAUAAUUAAAAAAAACAAUGUGUUCACUCAGACUUUUUCAUAAAUCAAACGCAGCCAUCGACAUCAACCGCUUGCCAGACAGAUCUCCACGUACCCACCCAAUGUGACCUUUAUUUAAUAUAUUAAUGAUUCGAAUGCAGCUGUAUGCAUGUUUGCCAAUCUGAAUAGUCUUUCACCUAUUUUCUUGAGAGAACAGAACACCAUAAAGGACAAACAGGUCUGUGUCCACUAGAGGACAGCAAAAUUCUGUGAAAGUGCUCCUCUGUAUUCAUUUAUUCUCUGCCCUCAUACAGGAACUGCAGGGUUGUUUAAUUUUUCGCUGUCUUUCUUCAGGAAAUCUCCUGUCAAUAUGUAGGCACCAGAUUACAGUGCAAAGUUCAAACCUCAUGUAAUGAGAUCCCCCUAUAUGCUGUUUGGUAUGGACGUUGUUUCAGAGUCCUUCUGCACUGAGAGAGUUUGGAGAGCCGACGAUGCUUGUAUGACCUCUGGCAGGUAACACAUUUUUACCGUUAAGUGCUUUACCUGUCCCUCUAAAACUGCCAAGCGUUGCACAGAGGAGCUAAAUGGAGAGAACAUCCAAUUUUGGCAUAUUGGACCUAUUUACCACUAGAGGGAGCUAGAGUCAUUCUAGUGUCCCAUGUAAUUUACGAGGUUUUCAGGAUUGUCUGGCAUAUGUCUCUUCCUCUUUCUUUAUGUCUUUGCGUGGUGGGUAGUGUGUUCUGCUUUAAUAUCUACAUUACAACUCAGCUAAGAUUAUAUCUACUCAAUUUAUUGGUCGUUAUCCAGUUAGAGAGAGUGUAGAAACAGGCUACAAUAACCCUGCCCUACCCCUUGAGGCAUCAAUUUUCGUAGUUGAUAAUGAUUAUAUUCGCUUAUUUCUGUACUUAUUCAUCUAGUUAUGUACAAUAAACAUAAUCACAAUGAAAAAGGUUGAUAUCUAUUGAUAUAUUUCCUCCAGCAGUUAUCAUUUUCAGUGUUUUAUCUUAACAUUAAAUGCACAAUUCUAACUACUCCAUCUCCCAGAAUCCUUCAGACCCAAAUCACAUACUACCUCUGUUGGUUCCCAACUCAAAUUGACAGUUUUUAUUUGGUAACGAGAAAUGUAACAGGAGUAAGAAACGAUCUCAACCUAAUUUUCCCAUUCAUUAUUUGAUGGUCACCCGUGUUGGCCCAUAAGGCUCUUUCAUGUGACCACUCAGAUGUCGUUUAGAGAAGAAAACACAGUCACCUCGGCCGGCCUAUGGAGGUCUACGGGGCCCACUAUACCGGCCAAUGUAUCCCAUCAUCCAGCCUGGCAACCAGACAAAUCUGCUAGCUUAGCCCCACUCCCCAGAGCUUUAGCACAAAAGUAUGCGUCUGAUACAAAAGCAUACAAAAUGAUACAUUAACAAAUAAUUGGUAAUUGGUAAUAAAUAAUAAUUCAAAACAAUUGUCCACAUGGAUCUGUACUGGUUAUUAGGGUAGUCACCUAUAGUUAUUUCCAUGUUUACUUAUAGGCCUUCUUUCAGUAAGUUUUACAAAUUAUUGCUUUGAAUGAAUAGUUGCCACUGUAUGAGCUCACCUUGUCUCACAUCCCCAGCAACAUCAGUCAUCAAACUAAGAGCCAUGUGUUUUAUGAUAUUAAACCUUUGGUGCAAAACAAAGAAAAACCUUUCUUCCAAGGCUUUUUCCGAGAGACACCCCCCAUUGUGGCCCUGGGUUCCCAGUCCCAAUUUUCCCAACACACCCCUGCCCCACCCGUUCGGACUGACUCCAGCAGACCUGGCCCAGCUCAGGCCAAUCACAACCAUUUAUCUCAUAUGGGGCGGGGUUAAUGACUGUACAGAGGAGUGUCCAUGGGAGCCAUGUCGAUGCAUUUUCAUAAGUAACCUAGACGGCUGCUGCCGAUGUGACCCUAUUUUCAUUGCUCUGAUUGGUUCUAAUUGUGUCCAAAGUAAAUUUUGUUGUGUAUUUUGAUAACACCCCUUGGAUUUUCAAAAUGGACAAGAGUUUCCAGACUUGGUCGCAUCUGUCCAUUGGUCUGGCGCUGUCAGGCUACCCUUCAUCGGCUGUUUACCAAAUAAAGGAAGGAUGAAGUGUUACCCAAAGCAAAGGUGACUUUGUUUAUCAUGCUGCUACUUUCCUCUUCUAUGGUGUAAGCCAUGGGUCUUCAAUUAAAAUUGAACAAGGUCCAGUUACUAAAAAUUCCUUCCAAGAAAGGUCCG
ensembl:lncRNA